rnacentral:sRNA from 1 species
AAGGUGUUAAAACGUAACCGAAUGCGG